AAGCUGCAAAGCAGCCUGAGAGCAGAGUGGCUAGUCUGUGGAGAGCUUGCCUGAGAAGAAAGCUGGGGAGAGGCUCUCAGAGAGCAGAGAGACCAUGAAAUCCUGCUGAGGAGCUGGAGAGAAGAGACACUUGCAAGGUGACCCAGCUCCUACUCAAUGCCGACGGCCUGGGCCCAGGACACCCUGUCUGUGGAGCCGAAUCCUUGCCUCUUCCUCCCUCCACACCAACCACUGGUGCAAAUCACCCCACAGGAGAGAAAAUGCAAACAAGGAGGAUCCUGGCUAAGCCGCUCUGCUACAGAGACACUCAGUGAGCAGACGCUGCUGGAAAAACGUUGCCGACAGACUUGCUCGACGCCGGGUUGCCAGAGACCUUCAAUCUGUGAAAAACACGAUAUCCGCAAAGUGCAAUAAAGCGAAGCGCCGUAAAACGAGGUCUGCCUGUGCCUGGUAUACGGUGAAGGCUCAGUAAGUAUGAACUGUGAUUAUCCUCCCCUUCUGACAGGUGAGGAAACUGAGACUUGGCAAGGAAGAAGUGAUUUGUCCAGGGUAGCACGGCAAUUCAUCAAAUCUCAUGGAGCAAAGAUGUACAAGAACGGGGCCUCGGUGGUGGCUCAGUGGUAAAGAAUCUGCCUGCCAAUGCAGGAGACACGGGUUCGAUCCCGGAUUGCGGAAGAUCCCGCAUAC
ensembl:lncRNA